rnacentral:rRNA from 1 species
UACGUAGGGUGCAAGCGUUAAUCGGAAUUACUGGGCGUAAAGCGUGCGCAGGCGGUUAUGUAAGACAGGUGUGAAAUCCCCGGGCUUAACCUGGGAACUGCAUUUGUGACUGCAUAGCUAGAGUACGGCAGAGGGGGAUGGAAUUCCGCGUGUAGCAGUGAAAUGCGUAGAUAUGCGGAGGAACACCAGUGGCGAAGGCGACACGCUGGGCCGUACCUGACACUGAACCGCGACAGCAUGGGGAGCAAACAGG